UACGUAGGUGGCGAGCGUUGUCCGGAUUUACUGGGCGUAAAGGGCGUGCAGGCGGUUUGUUAAGUCUAGGGUGAAAGCUCCCGGCUCAACUGGGAGAGGUCCUUGGAUACUGGCAGACUUGAGGAGAGUAGAGGAGAGUGGAAUUCCCGGUGUAGUGGUGAAAUGCGUAGAUAUCGGGAGGAACACCAGUGGCGAAGGCGACUACCUGGCCUGUUCUUGACGCUGAGGCGCGAAAGCUAGGGGAGCAAACGGG
rnacentral:rRNA from 1 species